rnacentral:rRNA from 1 species
AGCAGCCGCGGUAAUUCCAGCUCCAAUAGCGUAUAUUAAAGUUGUUGCAGUUAAAAAGCUCGUAGUUGAAUUUUGGGUCUGGCCGGGCGGUCCGCCCUCUGGGUGAGCACUGUUCCGACGCCGGGCCUAUCCUUCUGGUGAGUCGGCAUGUCCUUUGUUGGGUGUGUCGGGGAACCAGGACCAUUACCUUGAAAAAAUUAGAGUGUUCAAAGCAGGCGUAUGCUCGGAUACAUUAGCAUGGAAUAAUGAAAUAGGACGCGUGGUGCUAUUUUGUUGGUUUCUAGAACCGCCGUAAUGAUUAAUAGGGAUAGUUGGGGGCAUUAGUAUUCAAUUGUCAGAGGUGAAAUUCUUGGAUUUAUUGAAGACUAACUUCUGCGAAAGCAUUUGCCAAGGAUGUUUUCAUUAAUCAAGAACGAAAGUUAGGGGAUCGAAGACGAUCAGAUACCGUCGUAGUCUUAACCAUAAACUAUGCCGACUAGGAAUCGGGCGAUGUUAUUCUCAUGACUCGCCCGGCGCCUU